AAAGUACUGCUAUAAAUACAUAUUUAAUGGAUAUAAUCGUACAUUACCAUGUUUAGUAUCGGCAUCAGCAUCAGCAUCAGCAUCGGCUUUAAUUUUGACGAAACGGGUCCCGCAUAAAUAAACAAACAAAUGGGGCUUUUUUUCCGGGUCGCAUUUUCGCAUGUACGUAUUUCUUUUUACAAAACAAACGAUUUACCUUGCAAGCUAUUACCCAAGCGAAAAAUCUCCUCAAAAUAUGUAGGUAAGUAUUUCUGCGACUAGCAAAGCUAACUUUACCAGUAACCCCACACAUCCAUCAUGAUGCCCAGACAGGUGGGAUGGGUAUCUAGGAAUGAAAGGCAAUGUGGGGGGAUAGUGGGCAUCCCUUUUCAAACCAUCACUUAUGACUUGGGAAGAGCAACAGUGGAGAAAAUAAACCCGAUGUGGGGGGAAAGGAUGAAGUGCAGUACGGAAGCCUGGUCAAAGAAGUAAGCUCGGACAAACUUUUGUCCCAUGCGGGCAUUAGCGAGUGGAAAAGUGGUGUGAAGCGGAAGUCGAUCGACGAAGGCUUCCGAGACGGUUAAGUGAGACGGAAUAGACUUACCCCGCAGCAAUACAUUCAAUUAAGCCGAUGGCGGGCAUUUAAGGGGGCUGAACGU